CCCCCUGAAUUUAAGCAUAUUAAUUAGGGGAGGAAAAGAAACUAACGAGGAUUUUCUUAGUAGCGGAGAGCGAAAAGAAAACGGUUCAGCACUAAGUCACUUUGUCUAUAUGGCAAAUGUGAGAUGCAGUGUAUGGAGCGUCAAUAUUCUAGUAUGAGAAAUUAACGAUUUAAGUCCUUCUUAAAUGAGGCCAUUUACCCAUAGAGGGUGCCAGGCCCAUAUAACGUUAAUGAUUACUAGAUGAUGUUUCCAAAGAGCCGUGUUGCUUGAUAGUGCAGCACUUAGUGGGUGGUAAACUCCAUCUAAAACUAAAUAUAACCAUGAGACCGAUAGUAAACAAGUACCGUGAGGGAAAGUUGAAAAGAACUCUGAAUAGAGAGUUAAACAGUACGUGAAACUGCUUAGAGGUUAAGCCCGAUGAACCUGAAUAUCCGUUCUGGAAAAUUCAUCAUUAAAAUUGUAAUAUUUAAAUAAUAUUAUGAGAAUAGUGUGCAUUUUUUCCAUAUAAGGACAUUGUAAUCUAUUAGCAUAUACCAAAUUUAUCAUAAAAUAUAACUUAUAGUUUAUUCCAAUUAAAUUGCUUGCAUUUUAACAUAGAAUAAAUGUUAUUAAUUUAAUGAAGUGCUGAUAGAUUUAUAUGAUUACAGUGCGUUAUUUUUUCGGAAUUACAUAAUGGCAUAAUUAUCAUCGAUUUUUGUGUUUGUAUGAUUAACAAUGCGAAAGAUUCAGGAUACCUUCGGGACCCGUCUUGAAACACGUACCAAGGAGUCUAACAUAUGUGCAAGUUAUUGGGAUAUGAACCUAAUAGCGUAAUUAACUUGACUAAUAAUGGGAUUAGUUUUUUACCGAUUUAUAGCUAAUUAACACAAUCCCGGGGCGUUCUAUAUAGUUAUGUAAAAUGUAUAUUUAUAUUAUUUACGCCUCUAACUGGAACGUACCUUGAGCAUAUAUGCUGUGACCCGAAAGAUGGUGAACUAUACUUGAUCAGGUUGAAGUCAGGCGAAACCCUGAUGGAAGACCGAAACAGUUCUGACGUGCAAAUCGAUUGUCAGAAUUGAGUAUAGGGGCGAAAGACCAAUCGAACCAUCUAGGAGCUGGUUCCUUCCGAAGUUUCCCUCAGGAUAGCUGGUGCAUUUUAAUAUUAUAUAAAAUAAUCUUAUCUGGUAAAGCGAAUGAUUAGAGGCCUUAGGGUCGAAACGAUCUUAACCUAUUCUCAAACUUUAAAUGGGUAAGAACCUUAACUUUCUUGAUAUGAAGUUCAAGGUUAUGAUAAUGUGCCCAGUGGGCCACUUUUGGUAAGCAGAACUGGCGCUGUGGGAUGAACCAAACGUAAUGUUACGGUGCCCAAAUUAACAACUCAUGCAGAUACCAUGAAAGGCGUUGGUUGCUUAAAACAGCAGGACGGUGAUCAUGGAAGUCGAAAUCCGCUAAGGAGUGUGUAACAACUCACCUGCCGAAGCAACUAGCCCUUAAAAUGGAUGGCGCUUAAGUUGUAUACCUAUACAUUACCGGUAAAGUAGAUGAUUUAUAUUACUUGUGAUAUAAAAUUUGAAACUUUAGUAAGUAGGAAGGUACAAUGGUAUGCGUAGAAGUGUUUGGCGUAAGCCUGCCUGGAGCUGCCAUUGGUACAGAUCUUGGUGGUAGUAGCAACUAAUGGAAUGAGACCUUGGAGGACUGAAGUGGAGAAGGGUUUCGUGUAAACAGUGGUUGAUCACGAGUUAGUCGGUCCUAAGUUCAAGGAGAAAGCCGAAAAUUUUCAAGUAAAACAAAAAUGCCUAACUAUAUAAACAAAGCGAAUUAUAAUACACUUGAAUAAUUUUGAACGAAAGGGAAUACGGUUCCAAUUCCGUAACCUGUUGAGUAUCCGUUUGUUAUUAAAUAUGGGCCUCGUGCUCAUCCUGGCAACAGGAACCACCAUAAAGAAGCCGUCGAGAGAUAUCGGAAGAGUUUUCUUUUCUGUUUUAUAGCCGUACUAUCAUGGAAGUCUUUCGCAGAGAGAUAUGGUAGAUGUUGUGUCGAUAUUUUCUCCUCGGACCUUGAAAAUUUAUGGUGGGGACACGCAAACUUCUCAACAGGCCGUACCAAUAUCCGCAGCUGGUCUCCAAGGUGAAGAGUCUCUAGUC
rfam:Drosophila melanogaster chromosome X.